GGGCAGAAAGGGCCUGUUUUGGGCCUCAGAAGCCAAAGGCCGCAGGUUCGAAUCCUGCAUUGCCCACCA
rnacentral:tRNA from 1 species